rnacentral:rRNA from 1 species
AGUGAAGCGGGAUGAGCUCAAAUUUAAAAUCUGGCUGGUUUACCAGUCCGAGUUGUAGUUUAAAGAAGCGUUUUCGGUGGCAGUCUCGGUAUAAAUCCUUUGGAAUAGGGUAUCAUAGAGGGUGAGAAUCCCGUCUUUGACUGAGAAUAUGCUACUAUGUGAUACGUUUUCAAAGAGUCGAGUUGUUUGGGAAUGCAGCUCAAAAUGGGUGGUAAAUUUCAUCUAAAGCUAAAUAUUGGCGAGAGACCGAUAGCGAACAAGUACCGUGAGGGAAAGAUGAAAAGAACUUUGAAAAGAGAGUUAAACAGUGCGUGAAAUUGUUGAAAGGGAAACGCUUGAAACCAGUCAUGCGGUUGGGAAAUCAGUCUCUGGCGAGGGGGAAUGGGGGAGGUGUGGACCGCAAGGCCGCUCUUUUCUAUAUUCUUUUCGUCAGGGAUGCACUUUUUCUUCUGCAGGUCAACAUCAGUUUGCUUUGCCGGACAAAACUCUUGGGAAGGUGACAGCUUAGGCUGUGUUAUAGCCCUUGAGCGAUACGGUGGAGUGGACUGAGGUUUUCGCAGCAUGUGCUCUCGGGCAAGGCUGAUUGGGUGCUAUGAGAUCGUUCAGGGUACAAUACAUGUAUUUUGCCUUGUGUCUUUUUUAUACUCGCUCAACUCGGCUCUUCCAUGCUUAGGAUGUUGACAUAAUGGUUUUAAUCGACCCGUCUUGAAACACGGACCAAGGAGUCUAACAUAUAUGCAAGUGUUUGGGUGGCAAACCCAUGCGCGUAAUGAAAGUGAACGUAGGUGCGAUCCGCAAGGUGCAGCAUCGACCGAUCUUGAUAUUUUUGGAUAGAUUUGAGUAAGAGCAUAUAUGCUGGGACCCGAAAGAUGGUGAACUAUGCCUGAAUAGGGUGAAGCCAGAGGAAACUCUGGUGGAGGCUCGUAGCGAUUCUGACGUGCAAAUCGAUCGUCAAAUUUGGGUAUAGGGGCGAAAGACUAAUCGA